AGCGCAAAACGUGUUUGGUAAUUUAUUGGCGGGUUUCCAGACUAGCUAUUUGCGUAGGUCGUCGAUUGUGGUGCGCGAUGAAAUGAUGUUACAAUACAACGCGCUAGUUGCAAUUUCAUUCGAGGAUAUUAGUUUUGGAAAAACAAAUUGGUAUAUCGCAACAUAAUUUUAUUAAACUGUCGACUUGGUAUUAAAUAAAUUGGCAUUCUGUGAAUAGUUUCUAAAUAAACGUGAGGUAGUUUUUUCGUAAUACAAGAAGUUGAAAGUAAUUUUAUUGCAACAAAUUUGGCGUAUAUAGGACCAAAUGUCUUCUAGAAAUUUGUGUUACUGCGUUAAGCGGCAAAUGUUCCCCCCAUCGGAAAAAUAAGUCUUCUAAGGAAACCGUUCAAACCUUAUUUGUCUUCACCAUUAUUCUUUAUGUAACUUACUUAAAAAGGGUAAACAAUGUUUUUCAAGAAAUUAUAAAAUACGAUUGAAGCCAAGUUUCGGUAACACUUAUCGGACAUUUAAAAAAGUGUUUGUCUCAUUUAUUAGACUAAGUGCACACUAUUUAACGAAUAUGUAAAUAUGUUAUUUUAUAAAUUGGUCCGUUUAACAUAAGAACAAUAAUAUUUUUUUAAGUAAGCAUAUAUUAAGGUAAUUCAGGUAAUUAAAUAAAACAGUUCGGGAACUAAAUUAAAAAUAUACAGGGUGUUUUCUAUCUGUAAUACCAGUUUAAAUAUUUUAAUGAAAUUUUGAACACAUAUACUAUGUAUCAAGAGGCAUUAUUAGUGUACCAUAUUUUUUUUUAAAUAUACCAGUGGCGGGCAUACGGAAUUUACGUCUAUAUUUUGGCAGACAUUGUUGGUACGCCACUGAAGUUCCUUAUAAUAAAAAUUAUUCUUACAACCUCCGAUCAUUUCUAAAGAAAUUUAAUUUCUUUAUUUAACGUCAACAUUAAUAAUUAACACAUAAACGCAUAAAUACAUUGAAUUUUAAAUAGAACAUGAACGUAAAGAGCGAAUUAUCGAAUUACUGUGUGUUUUUUUAAAGAAAAAUCCAGAAAAGGGCAUUACUAUCAAUGUAAAAUAUAAUAUACAAGGUCUUCCCCUUAAAAAAUAUAUGUUUGCUUCAUAACUAAUAAACGGUUAAAACAAGUAAGAAAGAAACCAAGCCACUAUAAGCCACAUAAAACAACGGAGAUACGAGGGUGGUCCCAAAAUCGAUAGUUUUGCAUUUCACGCUGUAUCUAAAAACCCAAGAGGGCCAUGAUAAUUUUGUGGACGACGUCAUUAUUUUCACAAAAAAGCAGUAUAGUGUCGCACCUUUCUAUCUUAAAAAAUAACCGGGAUACCCCACAAAAGUGCCCAAAAUGGAAUAUCCGGUACAUACAUAAUAGCUAAUAACUUCUUGCAGCCAUUUUAUUACUAAUUUUGGAAUACUGUGAACACUACGGCUUAACAACAAAUACUGAUGCCUUAAAUCAAAUAAAUAUACUGUUAAAAGCGCCACCGUAAUUAUGUUUUAAGUCUGUCAUUCAAAUGUCAUUAUUAGAUUCACAUUUAUAAUAGGCUUCAAAAAUAAUUUUGUUAAGCGGCCGACAAGAUAGAACAAGUGAUGUUAUUACACAAUAUCGCUUUUAUAACGAAAAGAUUCUAAAUUUGUCAAAAUUGAACGAAGUAAACGAUUCGCAUAGAUUAGAACCAAAAAUAAACCUGAGAAUAAUUAUCAAUUUGAUAUCACACACGUGUGGCAUCUCACUUUUUGGAAAACAAUCGCAAAACUGUUCGAGUUGUAGAGAUUAAUGCUAUACGCCACACGUGGCUGCGAAACGGCAACGUCGCAACGCACUUUGUUAUAGAUCCAUUGUGUAACCGGGAUCAGCACAGAAUAAUUCGUUGGUAAUAUGUUUUACUCAAAGCAAUUUUACUCCCGAGUUUCAUUUCUGAAAUCUCAAUUCAUCUCCUUCCGCCAAUUUCUCCUAAUAGCGUUAAAAAUAGACGAAAAGACGCCGUAAGCAAAUAAACAGUCGUCGGACGGAGAGGAGAAAAGGAAAGUCGGAUCCGACAAUAAACGAUAUCGAGCGAGGCAGCCCGCCGACGGCAGCCGCACGGGCUACCUUGACCAAUCUCAAUUUAACUUUUGUAUGCUCAGGAUUUGCGGAUCAGAGCCAUGUUGCCAGUUUAUUCAGCGCGCUAAUUUGACGAUUAAAUUGAAAUUAGAUUAAAAUGAAAUUCUCAAGUCGACACUUUGAUUUGCGGGUUUUGAUUUGUCUUCAAACUACUCCAAAGUUGCAUACAUCUCAAUUGCAACAAGCGUGGUAAAUGGCAUUUGAGUCACGAGUUUAUUUGGCACGAGCAGAACGCAGCGGAGCGAGUGUUUAAUAAACAAAUGAUUUAACAAGUUUACCAAAUGUUUACCAUACUAUACAUUUUCUACGAUCGUUAAUACUAAAAUUAAACAGGAAUUAGGUUAAUUGCAGGUAGUCAAUUCAUAGGGUAGGUAGGUUAACAUGCAGAGCAGUAACAGAACCCCUCAACAAAUAAUUUUUCUCGACGAAAUUGUGUAUUAUACACAAGGUGUAACGGAACGAGGUUUAGAAUUUAAUAAAUAUAUGUAUAUUCAAGUUAUUGCAAAAAGAUAUUUCGAUGUACAGAAACAAGAUAUCAAGCAUCAGGAAGAAGAAGGAAGAGAAUGGAAGGAAGGAAAAACACAAUCAUGAACACCUGGAGGACCAAAUACAAGGCAGGAAUUUUAAGAGUUGAAAGCAUGUCUAAAAGAGAAAGAGACCGAACGAAUAUAUGCAAUAGGCCUGAGACAAGAAAUGCCGAAGGUGCCUUACUAGUUUCCUUAACUCGGUAUGUACCUCUAUGCGGAGGUGGAUGCAAUUGAAUAUACCUGAACUGGAAGACUUGACUAGAUUUCUGGGAGCAAGCGAAUGACCUAGAUAUUAUUUUUUCAAAGAAAGAAAAAAGAAACACAGGCGACUGUAAUACUUUUUACAAAUAAUAUUAUGGCACAUUUUAAACUUUCAGUUGCUGUUUCGGACGGUUGUCCAAUAAAAUGCGUCAAAGCUGAUAUUUCUAUAACUCGUGCAUCUGUUUCUUUUGCAGCAGAAAAAACGGAUUUAAUCGAAGUAGUAUCUGGAAGUUUAGGACCAGUACUGCAAGCUCCUACAUUUGAAACGGUUAAAGAAAUUCAUAAAUGUUAUUUUAACAAUUUUACUUUCAAGUUACUGCUCUGCAGUUAAGCUUCCAUUGUGAAAUUGUUAUUAGGGUAUCUGCAACCUACAAAGAAUCAUGAAUCACAGAGCAAUACCAUACUCAGAGUCUCCCAGCAAUAGAACCACAGCCCUGUUCCAUUGCAUAUCCUAGGGUCGUGUACAGAUCCUGAACAACAGACAUUCACACUUGUGAGCUCCUCAUUUUUCUGUUAAUAUAUUCGUCUCCGCGAAUAGAGGA